rnacentral:rRNA from 1 species
GACGAACGCUGGCGGCGUGCUUAACACAUGCAAGUCGAACGAAGUGGCGAACGGGUGAGUAAUACGUGGGUAACCUGCCCUCCUUUUUGGGAUAAGCCUUGGAAACGGGGCCUAAUACCGAAUAAAGGGGGAUGGGCUCGCGGCGUAUCAGCUUGUUGGUGGGGUGAUGGCCUACCAAGGCGGUGCCGGGUAGCCGGCCUGAGAGGGUGACCGGCCACAUUGGGACUUAGAUACGGCCCAGGCGCCAACGAGAGGCAGCAGUGGGGGAUAUUGCACAAUGGGCGCAAGCCUGAUGCGGCGACGCCGCGUGGGGGAUGGAGGCUUUCGGGUUGUAAACCUCUUUCGCUCUCGAACGGGUAGGUGGAGAAGAAGCGCCGGCUAACUACGUGCCAGCCGCCGCGGUAAUUC